UCACUUCAGCAGUAUGAAUAUUAAAAUUAGAGCCAGAGAGAAUAUUAACAUGGUCCUUGCUCAAGGAUAAACAUCACAAGCUUAAAAGAAUUGCAUCUUUUC
rnacentral:snRNA from 1 species